rnacentral:rRNA from 1 species
GAUGAACGCUAGCGACAGGCCUAACACAUGCAAGUCGAGCGGAUGAGGGGAGCUUGCUCCUUGAUUCAGCGGCGGACGGGUGAGUAAUGCCUAGGAAUCUGCCUGGUAGUGGGGGAUAACGUUCCGAAAGGAACGCUAAUACCGCAUACGUCCUACGGGAGAAAGCAGGGGACCUUCGGGCCUUGCGCUAUCAGAUGAGCCUAGGUCGGAUUAGCUAGUUGGUGAGGUAAUGGCUCACCAAGGCGACGAUCCGUAACUGGUCUGAGAGGAUGAUCAGUCACCCUGGAACGGGGCACCGGUCCGGCCUCCUCCGGGAGGCAGCAGUGGGGAAUAUUGGACAAUGGGCGAAAGCCUGAUCCAGCCAUGCCGCGUGUGUGAAGAAGGUCUUCGGAUUGUAAAGCACUUUAAGUUGGGAGGAAGGGCAGUAAGUUAAUACCUUGCUGUUUUGACGUUACCAACAGAAUAAGCACCGGCUAACUUCGUGCCAGCCGCCGCCGUAACAC